UCUGCCCCUCUGUAUUGGUUCACUCUGGCACAGGACCUCAUUCUCUAUCCUCAUUUAAUUCUUAAAACAAUCCUGUGAGAGAAGGAUGAGUAUCCCUCAUUCACAGAAGAGAAAACUGAGGCUCAGUAGAAACAUGCCUCAGGUGAGGGACAGAAUUUUCUCAUUCCAAGCUCUGUGCCUUUCGCCAGUUCACACUGUCCCAGGUCCUUGGUUCAAAGAGUUUCAGGCAAACUUAUUAUUCACAGACUCUUCAGAAGCUCCACCUUAUCAAAGAAGGCCUAACACUGACAAGAAACAAUCUUGCCCAUCAGAUCUGUGGCCCCAACUAGCUGACCACAGGUCCUUUCCAUGGCAGCCAGGUUUCCGAGCUGUCCCUCCUCAAAUGUUCCAACACACAGGAAGGAAUCGUUGGGGUUGAUUCUCUUCGUGAUACUGCCUGGCCUUCUAUAAACAUCCAAUUUCACUUCCUCCAGAGACUAAGGAAGAACGAAAAGAGGAGAAGGACUCAGAUGAGACUUACAUUAAAAGAAGAAAUGGAUAACCUGGCUUCACCACUUUCGAAACACUCCGUUCAUCAGUAAACAGCAACCUCUUCUUCUUAGAGACUUCCCCGCCAUCCGCGACAGCCUCGUCUCUACGGCCUGACUCCGAUCCUGCACCUGGCUAUGCACGACAACAGGCCGGUGUUUAAGCCCUCCAGCUGCUGUACCAGAGAGAGAAGGAGAGAGAGAAUCCCAAGCAGGCUCUGCGCUGUCAACACAAAGUCCGAUGCGGGGCUCGAACCCACGAACCGUGAAAUCGUGACCUGAGCUGACGUCAGACGCUCAACCGACUGAGCCACCCAGGUGCUCUGAUUCAUCCAUUUUAGACACUGUCUGUGGACUUCCUAGCAACACAGGCAAGGAGUUAGGUCUUUAACACCCCCCACCCAUUCCAUUCUUGGGGUUCAGUUUUGUCACUCUUGCCCCAUGAUUGAUAGUGGUUGCAGAAUUGUGACUAGGUAAGCAUUGUUCACCGCAGAGCUUACUCAUGUAGUCCGAUGGCACUCGUUUCUGUCCCCUGACCCCCCGGGGUUUAAUUUCUUCUCCUUCUCUUUCUGUGCUGCCCGCCACGAUCACUCCUCCACUCCGCUCCAGUGCUCCGGCAUGACAGUUAGUGCCGUUUCCCUUGGCUACCUCCUUGACCUGUCGUACGCUGCUGUCCUGGAACCUUCCUUCGCUGCUUCCUGGGCUGGGCUUUUCCUGGCUCCCUUCUCUUCUUGCUUUCUUUACUGUCUCUCUUAAUCUGCAGUUAAGAAUCCCUUUCUAAUAUUAAAAAAUAGAAUGGUCUUCGGACCUGCCCGUGAUCGUAGGUAUCCUUUCGAUAUCUAUUAAUUGGGACCAAAAAUACAGAAAGACCAAAAGUUACUAUGAAGGCACUCCUGCUCUUAAGUGAAUUUGUGUUUUACUCACAAUAGCAUCUAUGAACGUGUGAAAGCCUGUUCAAAGUUUAGGCUUAGGGUUAGUUCAAUCUAGCCUCAGUGUCUGGUCUUCCAUUUGUCACCUCGCCCCCUCAACUUGCCGUGAGACAACCCCCUCUCUUGACUUUCUAUUCAGUUCCUGUGCCCUAGCAGAGACUUAAGUACUGGUUUAAGGCCCACCUUGCAGGUGCACGUGACCAUGGCUGGCCAAUCAGGGUCUCCUCCUGCCAGAUACAGGGUCCAAGCAGACCAAUCAGAGGCUUUUUGAAGACUGGCUUUCCUUUAUGAGGCUUGCUCAACCUCAGUGGAGAGUUGGAGUUACUAACGACUAUCUUUGCAGUCUUGGGGCAUCCAUCCUGAAGGCUGAAGCCAUCAUGGAGGAAAGCACAACUGAGGGAUAGUUGGGGAGAGAAUGACGUUUGAGCGCUAGAUGCGGCCAGCUUGAAGAUCUUAGGCUUCCCGGUUAUGUGAGCCGAUACACCGUAUGACAUUUUUGGCUUAAGCAUAUUUUAGUUGGAUUUCUUUCACUUGGAGCAUAAAGAGCGGCGACUGAUAUCCUGUCUUUGUGAACUUGGGCAGGUUAUACAAGCGGUGCGUACAGACUUGGACCGUGACAACGCAGCUCCCGCUAGGUCCCCUAUGGCUGCCCUGUUAUCAGCCUGAGCCUGAGACAGCUUGACAUUGAAUAGUCCGUUUUAGGGACUGGAGGAAACGACUUACCGUGAGUCACUGCCCUAAAAUAUGCUUUCUACCCACAUGCCCGGUGCCUGGAAUUCUGUGGUGAUGGUGGCAUUCCUCAGGGUUAACCAUGGCUCUCUUCAAACGGUUCUCCUUUGGAGUGUGAAGUCUGCGAUAUUUAACUUGUAGAAGUCCUUUCUUCUGGAGGUCCCUCUGGCAGGCAGUGGAUCCAGGAUGCGGUGUAGACAGACCUAGGUACACAUCUCAGUUCCCAGUGGCACAGUCCCUUUGCAGCUUUGCGGGCAAACCCCUAGCACUGUGUGCUGACCUUUAGGAGGUCAGUCUGUAUCACAUAAGGAAUCCUACGCAGAGAGUGAAGAGAUGGUCUCAGAUUCACCCAGUAAUCUCCCUGAGUCAGCCCUGAGGGCAGGGCCUGGCCCUAGGCGUUGGGAAGAGGAAGGAGAUGUGAUUCUUGUCUUGUCAGGGCUCCUGACCUAAUAGAGAACUGCGGUUGAGUCUUCACAUGGACGGACGCUGUCUUUCACUCUGCGCCAUUCUGUGGCGCCAGGCCGCUCUCUGCCGCUGCCCUGCCCUGGAAACACACGCAGCCUAAGCACCAUUCCUGCCUCUGCUCUGGGCCUCGGGACUUUUCUUCUUCUUGAAUGAGUGUGCUCCCGCCCCCCAGCUGGUGCUCCACGCCAUCCCCCAGGUCUCAACAACAUACCCCCACCAGGACCACAGGAGCCAGAGCUGGUCGUGCCUGGUGGUCCUCAGGACUGAGAGGCCCUGACCUCCGUGGGGGCAGGAGCCGGCCAGCAUGACCAGUCGGGACUCCCAGGUUAAGAAUCCAGUUGAGCCUCCUGGUCCUCCUCAAUCUGCUCUGCCCUUCGUCUCCCACCCCCAAAUCCCUGCCGACCUCCAGCCCUGAAGAAGCCGGAGAACCUCUGCUUCCCCCACCUCCCCGUCCGCCUUGUCCUACUUCAGUAGUUUGGCUCCUCCGAGCCCUCUUCUUGAUUCAACCUUGCUUGGCCUGUGAAGACUUGAACAAACACGGACGUGGUUGCUGGCAGCUCGUGGCCGCAUCCCUAGUAGGACCCUAGCCUCCCUUAAAGUGCCUGCCUGCCAAACUCCCGGCUGUCUAAAGGAUUGGCUGCUGAGUCCAGCCAACGCCUGAAGAUCGGGCCCCUGUCUCCCAGCUUCUGUGAGAGGGCAGGAGCUUAACUUUGAGAAGUGUCAGCAAAGCCAGAUGGGUCUCAUAUGGGCCAGCGUCCCUUCCUGCUUUUUGUCAUCUUUCACUUCUGAUUAUAGAGCCCCCCACUCAUUCCCUUCCCUAGUCCCUCAUUCUCCCUGUGAAAUACCCCAUCACCUCUGUAAUAAUCCCAGUCGGGUGCCUGCUCACGAUGAACCCUUUCCCCUACGGCACUGCAAUACUAUGUUACUGACUGAAAUCUGUCUGGAUUACUUUAAGUAGUGUCUGCUUUUGUUUAUUUUCAUCAGGGGAGGUGUGCAGGAUCAGCCUUUUAAUUUUUUUUUUUUUAAUAUUUAUUUUUGAGAGAGAGGCAGGGUGCAAGCAGGGGGGUGGGGGAGGGGCAGAGAGCGAGUUAGACACAGACUCCAAAGCGGGCUCCAGGCUCCGCGCUGUCAGCACAGAGCCCGACGUGGGGCUCAAACCCAAGAACCGUGAGAUCAUGACCUGAGCCGAAGUCGGUCGCUCAACUGACUGAACCACCCAGGUGCCCCAACAGCCUUUGAAAUUAAAUUAUUUUCAGGAUCAGCUUUUUAAGUAAGCAUCCCAGGGAUGUUUGCGUAUAGAGGUCCAAAGGCUGUAUUUUGAGAAAUCGUGUUUCCCUGUGGAGAUCUUUUCUCUGGCAGCCCUUUUGAAUGGGGGCUAUGUUUUCUCAGAUACUGCAUUGCCAAUAGUCCAUCCAGCUUUAAUUCCAGUGAGAACGUUCCGGAGAUGAAACUAAGAAUCAACUCCAGGCGCUUCUCCAGUCACCUCUGGGGAUGAGUGUAUGUCGUCAGCAUCCAGCGCCUCACCUGCUGCCCAGCUAGAAUGACACCUUUCAGGGUUUCUGACUUAGAAACACGACCACCAGGUCCUGGAAACCCACGAACCAUCGUUCACAGAUUCCCUCGACAGCAGAAUUCUGCCGAUAAAGCGUACCUGUGUGAAAUUUGGAAGGCGGAGGUGGAAGGAGGUGGAAGCCAUGCUUUUCUCCUCUGUAGCAGCAGACAUGCAGGCUGAAUGUUGGAGUCCAUACUCCCCACCAGUCAGGCUUGGGGCCAUGGGGCUGUAGUGACCCCGGCAGUGGCUUCCCGAAGUUUCCUGACCGAGUGGCAGCAGCAACUUUGAAUCUAUGGAAAGCAACUGUGGUAAAGUAACCUGAGAGCUAGUGGUGCGAUUCCCCCCUGGCCCUGACCUUCACCACCGCGAGCCCCACCAGUGAUCACUCACUCUGGAGGCACCCAGCCAUCAUGCUGUGAGGACACUCAGUCAAACAGCAUGUGGGCAGGCUCAUAUGGCAGGGAUCUGAGGCCUCCCUCCAACCCCCUUGACAGCCAUGUUAAGUGAGUGAACCACCUUGGAAGUGGACCCUUCCGACUCAGUCGAGCCUUCAGAUGACUGCAGCCCUGUGGUAUCUUGAGAAUCUCACAAAAGACCCAGGGGCAGAAGUGCCCAAGCUAUUCCCGAAAUUUUGCCUCAAAACUUUUGAGGAAUGGGGCGCCUGGGUGGCUCAGUUGGUUGAGCGUCUGACUUUGGCUCAGGUCAUGGUCUCACCAUUCAUGGCUCCGGGCCCCGCAUUGGGCUCUGUGCUGACAGCUCAGAGCCUGGAGCCUGCUUCAGAUUCUGUGUCUCCCUCUCUCUCUGCCCGCACGCUCUGUCUCUCUCUCUCCCUCUCUCUCAAAAAUAAACAUUAAAAAAAUUAAAAGAAAUACGGCAAGGUAGCAGUUGAGACUGAUACGUACUGUGCAAAUUUGAGGUCGUGUUAUAGAAACAACAUUUUCUAAGCUUCACUUUAUGAACCACAUUUGAGCUAAUGGAAAUAUUCCAAAAUAGGAGAAUGGAGUUGCCUGGAAUCCCGGCCCACACUUCGGGAAGCCCAACUAUGCCCAGAUGGGUCUUCCUGGUUUCUCGUCAGCUCUGUCUCUGUGUCCACCUCUCUUCUUCAAAAAGUCACCACCGGCCCCCGCUCCACCCAGCUCAUGAAGGAGUUUGAGCUGGUAUGAGGAGUUUCUGCCCUUGUGACCUAAGAGUGACUAAAGGGCCUAGUACUGCGCCUGGCUCAAAGCAGGUGCUCACCAAACAGGAGCGGCCACCAUCCUCAUCGUUGUAAUUAUUGAUUCUUUGAUGGUGACCAUGGCUUAGACGUCUCUGUAGCCCUGCACCCUGCAGCAGGGCAGUAUAACCGUCAGCAGGCUUUGGAGUUAACAGGCCUGGAUUAAACCCCUACCUGGCAGUUUUGGACUUGCGGCCUUGGGCACCUGAACAGGGUACCUACAUCCUUUAAGCCCUGUCCCCUUAUCUGCCAGAUGGGGAUGAUAAAGUAUGUUUUCACGGACUG